GUUGAAGAUUUGUUCAAUUUUUGUAGUAGGAAACUUUCUUUAAAGACUAUUCUUAUGCUUGCAGAUCAAAUGAUCAAUCGAGUUGAGUCUGUCCAUUCUAAAUCCUUUUUACAUCGGGAUAUCAAGCCAGACAAUUUUCUUAUGGGCUUGGCAAGGCGUGCAACCCAAGUCUACAUCAUUGACUUUGGUCUGUCUAAAAAAUAUAGAGACACUACGACCCACCACCACAUUCCUUACAGGUGAGAUGAUUUUGAUUAGUUUAUUAUUUAAUGGAUCCUGGUUGCCAUCUAUGCUCUCAUGAACACAUAA